rnacentral:rRNA from 1 species
GCAUAACGCGAAGAACCUUACCUAGGCUUGACAUGCAUCUCUAAGCACGUGAAAGCGUGUGACCCUUCGGGGAAUUUGCACAGGUGCUGCAUGGCCGUCGUCAGCUCGUGUCGUGAGAUGUUGGGUUAAGUCCCGCAACGAGCGCAACCCUUGUGACUAAUUGCCAGCACGUUAUGGUGGGAACUCUAGUCAGACUGCCCAGAUCAACUGGGAGGAAGGUGGGGACGACGUCAGGUCAGUAUGGCCCUUACGCCUAGGGCUGCACACGUACUACAAUGCCCAGCACAAUGAGAACCGAGACCGCGAGGUGGAGGAAAUCUAAAAACUGGGCCCAGUUCGGAUUGGAGGCUGCAACUCGCCUCCAUGAAGUUGGAAUCGCUAGUAAUGGCGCAUCAUCUACGGCGCCGUGAAUACGUUCCCGGGUCUUGUACACACCG